GUGCCAGCCGCCGCGGUAAUACGUAGGGUGCGAGCGUUAAUCGGAAUUACUGGGCGUAAAGCGUGCGCAGGCGGUUUGGUAAGAUAGGCGUGAAAUCCCCGGGCUCAACCUGAGAACUGCGUCUAUUACUGCCAGGCUAGAGUAUGGCAGAGGGUAGCGGAAUUCCACGUGUAGCAGUGAAAUACGUAGAGAUGUGGAGGAACACCGAUGGCGAAGGCAGCCCCCUGGUCCAAUACUGACGCUCAUGCACGAAAGCGUGGGUAGCAAACAGGAUUAGAUACCCUGGUAGUCCACGCCCUAA
rnacentral:rRNA from 1 species